AAAUUGUCAUCAUUAGAAGGCCUGAUGUAAGGG
rnacentral:rRNA from 1 species